rnacentral:lncRNA from 10 species
CAAAUAUUUGCAAUACACCAGAAAGUAGACUCUAUGUAACUAUUUAAACUUAUGAAAACAAUUUAAAUGUUUGCACCUAAAAAUGUGCAAGGGGUACACAGAUUUUCAAAAUUCUUUUAGGAGUCUGCAAGGAAAAUGUUUAGAGAACCAGGGUCACGGAGCUGGCGCUUCCCUGCAAGGGGAGUGUACUUAGACGUAAAACCAAGGGCUCUGGGGAUGGGAGGGCACCCUCAAAGUUAGGGGGUAAACUCUCACUGGGGCUGGGUUGGUGGCAAAGGAGCCAAGGCGCUCCCUCUUCACCCUAGCAAUACUUUCCUCUGGUCUUUUGUUUUCUUGUUUUAUUUUCAGCGUUCCUCUAAAAUCCCAUUCUCUCCACUACAGAUGCUCUGCCAGGUCAGGGUGCGUUCUGCUCUGCGUUUUUCCAUCCUGCCUAAACGUUGCAGGAGGCUUCUUAGCUGGUGAUGACCCUGGACUGCUUCCUGGCUUACUCUGGGCUUCAGAUUCGGACAAACAUUUGGCUCUCAAGGUCACUUCAUGCUCUAAACCUUCUGUAAUCUCCAGGACAUCAAUCCACUCAGGUUUGGUAGGAGCUAGGGUGAGUCAAACAUCACCCUCUACAGGCUCAUCUGCCAGUGAUGAAAGCAUGUGCUCGGUGCCCCCACUCCAAGGAUGUGCUGGAGGGUGUGGGGAGCCGGGCCCAGGGCCUGCCUGGACUGAUCCCCUUUUGCUGCAUCAGCAAUGGGAAGCAGAGUAACUCACCUCCCAAUGAAAGGAGUUAAGAAAAGAACCUUUAUCUGAGGAAUACAAGUCCUUUUAAUUAUCAGGCCCAGAGAGACACUAAAACGAGACAGCAAUCAUGUCCUACUCCCCUGCUUUGAGCAAUGUGUUCGUCUCUUGAAGCUGCUUGCUAUCACCACAGGUAGCUAUAGAUCAACCUAAUAGUGCCUCACCAGACACUGUAACCCACGCUUUAUAGCUUAACAAUGUAUAGCCAAUCAAAUCAAUGUUAUUUAUGUAAACCAAUGAGAAUUCCUGACAAACAACUUUAUAUCAGCCCAUACCCCAUCCUCUGCUUUUGCCUUUAAAAAUCCACUUGUAACUUCAGCUAAUCAGAGUGUGUAUUUAGGGCAACUUGAAUCUAUGCUCGCAGGUUGCAAUCCUCAAACUUGACUCAAAUAAACUCUCUACUUAUA